CAUCGUCGCACGCACUCCGCUGGGUUCCUCAGUGUGGGACACUUAAUGUACGCCGUCCAGACACUAGGACUGUAUACCCCAGAGGUUCAACAAGACGGGGGGGGCGCGAUCACGUUGCACCGCACCAACAGAUGUGUUCGACCUGACUUCUGCGCGCAGACUCCCAGUUCCAGCUGGCGAGAACGACUUGGCAGCGCGACGGGUGAAGGGAAGGGAAGGUCUGACGAAUGUGCAUCCCGGGUUCGGGAGUCGCGACCUUCAUUGCCUCGCUAGUUAAGUGUCUCUGGUACAAUCGAUGUGGUCUCCGUUGUCCCACGUGGUGUGGCAGCCAAUGGCGUGCUAUCCCUGCCUGUGUUCUCCCCUCGACGGCUGUAGAGCGUAAGUGCACCAACGCCACCGGAUGGGAAGGGUAGAGUCCAGACGGUCUAGGCUCCUUCAGGCGUCACGCCCAACAGUCAGUUUCGUCGUGUGGAAGUGUGGUGUCUUGGCUUGCGCUUGACUCGCGUCAUGCCGACGCUUUUUUGUUCCUGGCAAAUUUCGACUAGAAUGUAGGCGGGAAGGCGGGAGAACCCGAUCAAAAACUAGCAUGUCUCAGACCGCGAUGUGGCGGAGCCACUGGAUCCCGAUAAGAAGCGGUCCGCACCACGUUUGUUGGAGAGCACCAGUGUACAUUGCAAUCGGUCCCAACCGAGAUGCUGUUGGACUCUCGAGCACACAUCUUUAUAAAAAUAGUGUGGCGUCGAUGUAUCUAGAUGGUUCUUGAUGUCGUGUGCGAAUCCAGUUCGUAAGGGACUUAUAGGAGUACUGCACGACUGUUGUGACCAUUCACCGUUGGGACUGAGAUGUGCGCCGCUGUGGACUAGCGCGAACCUUCUGCUC
rnacentral:lncRNA from 1 species